rnacentral:rRNA from 1 species
GAUGAACGCUGGCGGCGUGCUUAACACAUGCAAGUCGAACGGAAAGGCUCCUGCUUGCCGGGGUACUCGAGUGGCGAACGGGUGAGUAACACGUGUGUGAUCUGCCCUGCACUUCGGGAUAAGCCUGGGAAACUGGGUCUAAUACCGGAUAGGACGAUGGUUUGGAUGCCAUUGUGGAAAGUUUUUCGGUGUGGGAUGAGCUCGCGGCCUAUCAGCUUGUUGGUGGGGUAAUGGCCUACCAAGGCGUCGACGGGUAGCCGGCCUGAGAGGGUGUACGGCCACAUUGGGACUGAGAUACGGCCCAGACUCCUACGGGAGGCAGCAGUGGGGAAUAUUGCACAAUGGGCGCAAGCCUGAUGCAGCGACGCCGCGUGGGGGAUGACGGCCUUCGGGUUGUAAACACCUUUCGUCAGGGACGAAGCGAAAGUGACGGUACCUGGAGAAGAAGCACCGGCUAACUACGUG